UGAUGAUCAUGAUUCAUGAUUUUCUUUCCCCAUUGGGUUGAUUGCCGAAAUGAUGGCAUAAUAAUUGUAUUAAGUUCUAUUUGAUCAUUC